GUGGGGAAUCUUGCGCAAUGGGCGAAAGCCUGACGCAGCAACGCCGCGUGCGGGAAGAAGGCUCUCGGGUUGUAAACCGCUUUCAGAAGGAACGAAACUGACGGUACUUUCAGAAGAAGGUGCGGCCAACUACGUGCCAGCAGCCGCGGUGACACGUAGGCACCAAGCGUUGUCCGGAUUUAUUGGGCGUAAAGAGCUCGUAGGCGGUUCAGUAAGUCAGGUGUGAAAUCUUUGGGCUUAACCCAAAGCGUGCACUUGAUACUGCUGUGACUUGAGUUCGGUAGGGGAGUGGGGAAUUCCUAGUGUAGCGGUGAAAUGCGCAGAUAUUAGGAGGAACACCGGUGGCGAAGGCGCCACUCUGGGCCGAAACUGACGCUGAGGAGCGAAAGCGUGGGUAGCAAACAGGAUUAGAAACCCUAGUAGUCC
rnacentral:rRNA from 1 species